UAGGGUAAAUUCAGAGUUAAUUGAGUCCUUUCCUUUUGAACCCCCUAUUUGUUAUCAUUUGUUUUUGACUCCUUAAUUAAAGGGGAAUCCUAAUACUAAAAGGAUUCUAGAUUGAUAUUAGUCCCUUAAUAUAAUAUUGUUGUUUGUUUAUGUACUGGUUUUCCGGUACAAUAAGUACCCUCCUCUUUCUUUUUGAAAGAAACCAACACACAGCAUAUCUUUCACAAUUUAAAAAUCUCUCUGAAUUCUCUCAUUCUCUGCUAUUUCUAUACUCUCUCAUUCUCUUAUUUGAACACUCAAUCGGCUGAAAAGCCAAGAUUGAGUAAACUUGGGUUGUUUAGUCCUACACUACUGGAUUAUGUUGCAUUGCUUACUUGGGUUUCCAUGUUGCUCUCUUUGUUGCACACUGCCAUUCUCACACUGUGUUGCACAGUGCUAUUCUCUCUGCUACUCAUACUCUCUGCUCACUUUGCUCUCUCUGUGCACUCUUCCUCAUUGCUCUUUGUGUUUUG
rnacentral:lncRNA from 1 species